rnacentral:rRNA from 1 species
UGGUGGAGUGAUUUGUCUGGUUAAUUCCGAUAACGAACGAGACUCUGUCCUGCUAACUAGGUUGUGUUUUCUCGGGUUGGUGUUUCUGGUGUUCCUUCUCGGGGCGCCGGCCCAAUCCACUUGCGAACACAACACUCUUCUUAGAGGGACUGGCGGCUGUUAGCCGCACGAGAUAGAGCAAUAACA